GACCUGCGGAAGGAUCAUUACCGAGUGAGGGCCCUCUGGGUCCAACCUCCCACCCGUGUUUAUUUACCUUGUUGCUUCGGCGAGCCUGCCUUUUGGCUGCCGGGGGACGUCAGUCCCCGGGUCCGUGCUCGCCGGAGACACCUUAGAACUCUGUCUGAAGAUUGUAGUCUGAGAUUAAAUAUAAAUUAUUUAAAACUUUCAACAACGGAUCUCUUGGUUCCGGCAUCGAUGAAGAACGCAGCGAAAUGCGAUACGUAAUGUGAAUUGCAGAAUUCAGUGAAUCAUCGAGUCUUUGAACGCACAUUGCGCCCUCUGGUAUUCCGGAGGGCAUGCCUGUCCGAGCGUCAUUGCUGCCCUCAAGCACGGCUUGUGUGUUGGGCCCCGUCCUCCUUCCGGGGGACGGGUCCGAAAGGCAGCGGCGGCACCGCGUCCGGUCCUCAAGCGUAUGGGGCUUUGUCACUCGCUUUGUAGGCCUGGCCGGCGCUUGCCGAUCAACCAAACUUUUUAUCAGGUUGACCUCGGAUCAGGUAGGGAUACCCGCUGAACUUAAGCAUAUC
rnacentral:rRNA from 1 species